rnacentral:rRNA from 1 species
GACGAACGCUGGCGGCGUGCCUAACACAUGCAAGUCGAACGGAACUUCUUUAAAGGAUUUCUUCGGAAUGAAUUUGAUUAAGUUUAGUGGCGGACGGGUGAGUAACGCGUGAGUAACCUGCCUCUAAGAGGGGAAUAACAUUCUGAAAAGAAUGCUAAUACCGCAUAAUAUAUAUUUAUCGCAUGGUAGAUAUAUCAAAGAUUUAUCGCUUAGAGAUGGACUCGCGUCCGAUUAGUUAGUUGGUGAGGUAACGGCUCACCAAGACCGCGAUCGGUAGCCGGACUGAGAGGUUGAACGGCCACAUUGGGACUGAGACACGGCCCAGACUCCUACGGGAGGCAGCAGUGGGGGAUAUUGCGCAAUGGGGGAAACCCUGACGCAGCAACGCCGCGUGAAGGAUGAAGGUCUUCGGAUUGUAAACUUCUUUUAUUAAGGACGAAGAAAGUGACGGUACUUAAUGAAUAAGCUC